CCCAUUCCCAUUUCAUUUUCAGAUCUCAAAGUCUCUCUCUCCCCGCCGCGGCUUCCUCUCUGCUUCCUCAGUCUAUCUCUCUCCCUCUCCUUCCUCUCUUCCUCCAAAUCACUCUCUCUAGUCUUCUCUUGUCCUCCUCGUGGAUUCUUUCUUCCAAACAAUGAUUUUCCCUCGCCCCUUUUUGAGACCCGACGAAAAGAGGAAUUGUAAGAGCUUGCGACGAUCACUGCGAUAUCGCUGCAGCAAAGGGAUUUUGAGAUUGUUUAUUGAUUGGAGAAGAUGGCGUUGGGAAAGAAGUGCAAGAGUUGCUUGAAAGCGAAGCGUGGCAGCGGCGGUGCUGUUGCGGCGGAGGCGGAGCCGAUGAUGGAGUUAGGGUUUGUGAAGUACACGCGAGCUUUGGGGAGGAAGAGGAUUGGGAUUUCUAACAAUGGCGAGGAGGCAUCGCCGGCUGAUUUGUAUCCCAAUACUCCAUUGAAGAAGCAGCGGAGUGGGAAGAUGAUUUGGGAAUCGAAACUGCCGCCUCCUCCGCCCUAGAAGCUCUGCCUCAGGAGAUUCUGAUUAAGGUUGUGUGUGGAGUCGAUCACGAUGAUUUGAAGCGGCUUUUCCGUGUAUCGAAAGCGAUUAGAGAAUCGACUCUGGUUGCGAAGCAGUGGCAUUUUGCUUCUUAGUCAAUGAUGUAUCUUACCUCAUGAAUAUUGAAAAACCGUCCUGGAGAGAUGGAAACAUGUCAUAUUUUCUA